rnacentral:rRNA from 15 species
AAAACGACUCUCGGCAACGGAUAUCUCGGCUCUCGCAUCGAUGAAGAACGCAGCGAAAUGCGAUACUUGGUGUGAAUUGCAGAAUCCCGUGAACCAUCGAGUCUUUGAACGCAAGUUGCGCCCCAAGCCUUCUGGCCGAGGGCACGUCUGCCUGGGUGUCACAA